rnacentral:rRNA from 1 species
CUCCCAACCCAAUGUGAACCAUACCAAACUGUUGCCUCGGCGGGGUCACGCCCCGGGUGCGUCGCAGCCCCGGAACCAGGCGCCCGCCGGAGGGACCAACCAAACUCUUUUCUGUAGUCCCCUCGCGGACGUUAUUUCUUACAGCUCUGAGCAAAAAUUCAAAAUGAAUCAAAACUUUCAACAACGGAUCUCUUGGUUCUGGCAUCGAUGAAGAACGCAGCGAAAUGCGAUAAGUAAUGUGAAUUGCAGAAUUCAGUGAAUCAUCGAAUCUUUGAACGCACAUUGCGCCCGCCAGUAUUCUGGCGGGCAUGCCUGUCCGAGCGUCAUUUCAACCCUCGAACCCCUCCGGGGGGUCGGCGUUGGGGACCUCGGGAGCCCCUAAGACGGGAUCCCGGCCCCGAAAUACAGUGGCGGUCUCGCCGCAGCCUCUCCUGCGCAGUAGUUUGCACAACUCGCACCGGGAGCGCGGCGCGUCCACGUCCGUAAAACACCCAACUUCUGAAAUGUUGACCUCGGAUCAGGUAGGAAUACCCGCUGAACUUAAGCAUAUCAAUAAGGCGGA